GACGUAGGGGGCGAGCGUUGUCCGGAUUUAUUGGGCGUAAAGCGCGCGUAGGCGGUUCGUUAAGUCGGGUGUGAAAACCCGGGGCUCAACCCCGGGCCUGCAUCCGAUACUGGCGGACUCGAGGCAGACAGGGGAGAGUGGAAUUCCCGGUGUAGCGGUGAAAUGCGCAGAUAUCGGGAGGAACACCGGUGGCGAAGGCGGCUCUCUGGGUCUGUCCUGACGCUCAGGCGCGAAAGCUAGGGGAGCAAACAGG
rnacentral:rRNA from 2 species